GACGAAGGGGGCUAGCGUUGCUCGGAAUCACUGGGCGUAAAGGGCGCGUAGGCGGACUUUUAAGUCGGGGGUGAAAGCCCAGGGCUCAACCCUGGAAUUGCCUUCGAUACUGAGAGUCUUGAGUUCGGAAGAGGUUGGUGGAACUGCGAGUGUAGAGGUGAAAUUCGUAGAUAUUCGCAAGAACACCAGUGGCGAAGGCGGCCAACUGGUCCGAUACUGACGCUGAGGCGCGAAAGCGUGGGGAGCAAACAGG
rnacentral:rRNA from 1 species